rnacentral:tmRNA from 1 species
GACGGGGCAUCAGGCGGAUGACUGAAGCCUGCUCGGUGAGAGCAAAACCGUAACAGCGAACAACAUCGUUCGUUUCUCCCGUCAAGCCGCCCCCGUGGCCGCCUGACCCUUAGGGGAGAUGGGGUUAAGUUAGCCUUAUCAACCAAAUAACUCAUUGGGCCUGGAAGGGCCC